rnacentral:lncRNA from 1 species
GGCUUCUUUUUUUUCCCCUGCCUUUGUUGUGUGUGUUCUUCAGCUCUGGGAACUGCUGGUCCUAACUCACGAGGGGAUCUUCAGUGCUCACCUGCUCCAAGGAGUAUGUGAAAUAAGCUGGGCAGCAGCUGCCAAAGUAUCUUGGAAAAUGAGAAGAAAACAUGAAAAUAUCAGUUUAUCUAGAGAACACAUUUCUGUGACUGUCAAAGCUCUGCUACCACCUGGGACAUGCUUUAGACCCAGAAUCUUUCCAAUGAGGCAUUUUACUGGCAUCUCUUUACUGAAAGGAGAAAGAUAACUCUUGAUGGACUGAUCAGCCAUGCCAGAUGAGCUCAGGAGCAUGAUGACAGACCCAUUUAACUGCAGAACCACCAGUCAGCAAGAAUAUUCUUCAUAAUUAAAA